UCCCUCUCUUGCGUCCCCCACCACGGUCGUGCAGCGAAACGCUUACUACCUCGUCUCACCUGUCUUCUUAAUUUCUCGGCGACGCGCGUCUGCGAUUUUCGCGCUCGCGUUACGCACCGAUCGCGGCAGCUACCGAGCACGCGCGCGCGCUCGCCAAUAUCCGUGUUAUCUCGGAUCGGCCAGCGUGUCCCGUCCCGAAAAUCGACCGCUCGAUCCGCCGAACUCGAGCUACAUACAGUACUUUCGCGGCGUAACCGAGCCGAAUUCGUGGCAAUCGUGUUUUCGGCGUUAUCGCGCUGAUAAGCCUCGCGAAAGUGUGCUGUGCUCCUCCGAUAAGUGGACCUAACCCAGACUCAUCCGCGUUUCCAAUACUACAUAUCGUUUCACGAUGGACGAAUCGCGGGGGUCAUUCUUCGUGGACACGGUCAACCGACGUGUCCUUCCGUAGCCGCUCGACGAAACUGCGAGGACGAGGAAACUGACCGCAAAGGAGAAACUGGACGGGUUUAAUUCAAACGUCGAGUGAACGGUUACAUCGUACCGAGGAAAUUAAGCGUGUAUCUUUGGUAAUGUUGUCAGCUGUUAGGUCCCCGAAGGCUCCCCGGAUCGACGAACUUUCCUGACUUCGUAUUCGAACGAAGCUUAGCUUCUUCCUUGCCGAAAGGUUCGUCGGUAGCUUUCGAAACUGACAGUCGAAACAGCACUUCACCGUGUUGCAUCUUGCAUCAUACUAUUUCGCGGUGCUCCCGCGUUGAUCGAGCGCUCCGCGCAGUCCCAUAUUGUGCUUGUCGAGCUAGCCACCGCUGCGAACCCACUUCCUAUUAGCUCGAAAACAAGAUUACUCAGCAAUGAACGGUGGAUCCCGCGUGGCGUGACGUCGCGCGGCGAUUAUUCGGUAGGUGUGUUAUCAGCGGGCGAGCUGAUUCUCGGGAGCAUCGCGGGAGAGGCGGUGAUCUCUCGGUACGACACACUCGCAGAAGUGACCGGGCACAUAAAUUACUGCCGCGAAAACGAAGGAAAACGCCCGUCGAAUUAAUCAAAUUUAUCGGUAGAGAAAAAAGUGGGCCUCGCGAAACGGCGAGCAUCAAUCAAACAAUUUCCAACGAAAACAAGUUCAGUGUUCCAUUGUAGUCAUCAACCCCGAGCUGUAAAAGCAUCCCCCGCAGGAUAGAGAGAAACGAGGGACCAAUUCACAAGUGCCGAAUGAAAUUCCAGGCCAUCAAUCCUCCGCCGAUAAAUUACAAGCGGCGCUGGUCCGCGCCCGGAACGAUCGGCCCACAUCUUCCAGUCUAACCGACGGCCAUUAAUUGCUGGAAAGUGCUCGCGAUCGUCGCAUAGUUGUCGUAGUUUAUCCGGCCCUUCGAAUCGAACCGAUUCGGCCGCUUCAUAACGCGGUCGCCGCGUCCGGGCGGCGCGGUGCGGCGCGGCGCGGACAAUCGCGGUGAUUAGCGGCUCGCAACGGACACCGAACGAAUUCCACGCGAGAAAUUCACAAUAACCGCCGUCAACCCCGCGGCGAAAAGCGAUUUAAUUGUCCGCUGGAACGCGUUAGCCGGGUAAUGCGCCGGCUCGCUUAUUGACGGUUCAUCCGCAGUGCUUUAAACGCCUCGCGUGAUUGCCGUUACACGUGAUACGCCGGGGUCGUUUAUCUCUCGCGGUGCUGACCUCGCCGAAAUGUGGCCAAUUCCACCCCGGGCCAGAUCCCUGUGAAGAGGACUGGCGGAGGAUUCGUCGGGGAAUCUAAUCGGCUGACGCGGUGAACUGUGCUUUUCCUUUUUUUUCUCUCUCUUCUUCUUUCUCCUCCUCCUCCGCCUCCUUCUCCUGCUCCUCCGCCGUUCGUUUCUAUUUUUUCGUCGGCUUGGCACGAUGACAACGCUGAAGAAGGACGAGAAGAGGGCGUCGAAAAAGUCGGCGAAGACGAGCAGCCAGAAAGCCCCCGUUCGUAACCCGAGGACCACGGCGAAACUGAAGCAGCAGCCGCAUCACCACCACCACCUUGUAAAAACCGAAUCGAACGCCGAACCAGGAGAUCCGGAAAAUGAUUCGGUGAGCCUCAAAGUUGAGGAGGGCCAGCAGGCGGAGGGCGCUGCGAAGAAAGGCGGGAAAUUCGAACGCAAGAGCUCGUUCCGUCGGAAAAUCGGGUCGCUGAUAAGAAGCAGUGCCGAGUUACCGGCAGCGAUAAACCGCGGCCUGCAGCCGAUUAAGCGUAGCUUGAGCUUCAGCAAAGACUUGAACCGGCUGCACGAGCCGUCAAAGCCGUCGCGGAUUGGCAGCGUGCUAUGGUAUAACAGUCUGGUGUCUUUGGCAGAGGAUGAAUGCCUGGAUGAGACUCCGCCAAGGAAGGAGCACAGCUUCCCUCCACCGAAGGCUCAGGUCACCAGGACGCAAAGUCUCAUCGACACAACUAGCGUCAGGACUCCACGGCGACGGGUGAACGAGCUGCUGAUCAAAACCGCCCCUUACGGCCGGCACAGCGACCACUAUGACUCCACAAUAGAUUUAAGUAAUCCACCCUGCGAGGCGAGCAGCCUGCCCGCCCUUGCCAUCGCGGAUGAUCCCGGCAACGAGCAGAAGUACCUUCGCGAAGGCGAGCAACAGGUCAGGAACAAAUGGAUGAACCUGAAAGCCGCGGUUCGAAAUUUGUCUCAGCUACAUGUCGGACAUACUACAGCGAAGCAUCACUCGGUGCGUUCGAGGUCGUUGACCCAGCUGGACGCUCUAGGCAGCAGCAUGCUGGACACGGGGGAGCACCAUCUGGGGAGUGGUCCCCCGCAACAGCAACCCCAUCAGCUUCACCACCAUUACCAGCCGCAACAGUUACAGCACCACCCCCAAAACGUAGAAAGUAAUCCGCGUUUUUUGGUGCCCAGCGCGGCGUCCAUCGAGAGCACGCAUCAGAACCGCACCAGGCACAAACUCUCACGGUCACAGGUAUCUAGCAGCGAGUACUUCAGCGUCAGCUUCGAUCUACCAGAGGAAUUUGGCUCCCUGGACCGGGACGAGUUCCUACCCGCCUCGAAAGGGACCUGUUUGGCGGAGGCGUUGAAUACCAGUUGCGAGAAACGCGGUAUCGACUUAUCGCGCAUCGAAGUGUACGAGGGUUUCUCGGCGCCGUUGCCAAUCCAAACGACGGACACGUCGAGUCUCGGCGGGAAACACCUGAGAAUAACAGUCAAAGACGCCGAGAAAUCGAAUUCAAGGCAGACGGGUCAGAAGGCCGGCCAAAGCGUUUCCCUGAGGAAAACAACGAGCGGGAGUUAUCGGGGUCGAAGCGGUCUCGGUUUCUUCAGCGUCUCGACGGAAGACUCGAGCGUCGACUCCGAGGUUAGUAGCAGCACGACGAUCACGUCUGGUCGGAGUUCCGCUGGGGCUGCGGGAUUCAAGACCAGCAAGCAACGCUGGAGCGGGUUCUUCAUGAACACGAAGGGCAACAAGCUCGACCUUCUCACCACACACCUGGACGAGUACAAUAAACACGGGGUGCCGAAACUGACGGACGUUCAACUGCCGUACGAACUCACCCUUAACGAAGAUGCCUUGUAUAACUUAGAGGAAGACUGGCGCGACAUCGUUCAAAAUGCGGACCAACUGUCGGAGAAGCAGCAGCAACAGCAGACUGCUUUGUGGGAGUUAGCGCAAACAGAGCUGGCGUACAUUAAGACCUUAAAGGUCGUGACCGACCUGUUCAUGGCGUGCCUGUGCAGCCUGCAGACCUCGAAUAUCCUGACCGAGGUCGACAGGACCAAGCUCUUCAGCAACAUUCCCGAAAUCUACGCCGCGAACCGAUAUUUCUGUACCGAGUACGUUCUGAUGAUGGUGAACUCGUCGAGGUCUACGGGACUACCGCUCGACCCUGGCCACCUUCUGCAAGGUUUCGAGACGUUCGAGCAAACGUUCGCGCCUUACACCAGAUACUGCACCGAGCAGAGCAGGUGUCAGCAAUACUGUAGAGACCGGCUCAACGAUAAUCAACUGUUCGCGGUCUAUCUGAUGUGGUGCGAAACACAGAAGGAUUGCAAUCGGCUGAAACUACUUGACAUACUGGUGAAACCUAUGCAGAGGCUGACCAAAUACUCGCUCCUCCUCAAGGCCGUUCAGAAGAACACGGAGGACGAAGAUCAACGGGCGGAAUUGAUACACAUGAUCAAAUCCGUGGACGACUUCGUGGCGUCCGUGAACGCCGCCCUGAAGAGGAGCGAAGAAACAGCGCGACUGAACAACGCAGCGUCGCGCAUAGAGAGCUACGAUGUGGUCGAGUCCCGCGACGAGGAACUGGAGAAACUGAUUCAAAUCCACAGCAGAUUUGACAUCGCCAAUGUGCCGAUACCCGGCUGCCCCAAAGACACCCUCAGAGUGCUCCUCCGCGAGGGUGACUUGAAACUGAGAGACGCAGCGAGCAGUAAGAUGGAAGUGCGCGUUAUGCUGUUAACCGACAUGCUAUUGAUCUGCAAACCGUUGACCAAGAAACCCUCCUCCGGCGGCUCGUCGGGAUCAGUCGGUUGCGCGUUGAAGAUCAUAAGGCAACCGUACGUAAUCGACCGCAUCCGGAUACACGAGCUGAAGGAGCCAUCCAGCCUGGGGUUGGUCUAUCUGAACGAGUACGAGGCAGCGUCGGCUGCUCUCGUUCUCAGCGCCGGUGAAUCGAAACUGGCCAAGUCUUGGAUGGAAUCCAUAAGGAAAGCUCAGCAGCAAUUUGCGCUGAUGAAGGUGCCGCCGCUCGGUAACACGCUCAACUUGAGCCUAGGAACGGUUAGCCGGCAGCCUAGCACGUACCUAGGUGACGUGGACUUCGACGGGGAGGAGUGUGAACCGAUUUUGAAAACGCCUAGGGGAAGUAGCAGGGCGUCACGUGUUAGCAGCCUUGCCCACAGUCACAGUGGAAGCAUAGAGAUGGAAGGAGUCUCUCCAGGAAGCAGUAGCUUCCUGCCCAGCUAUAACCCAAGUAGGAACGUCAGCGUGGAGACCAGCGAGAUGCCGCACGGGUCGAGCGUGUCCUCCGAGGAAGGUGGCGAGAGUUCAGGACACAAUCACAGACCGUUGCAGAUCAGUCCUAACAAAUUUGAUAAUAGACGGUAUCUGCUGAGUAAGUCGCCGACGCCGAACACACUGAGCGUCCAAGUACCAGCGUAUUCUAGCUUGGGCCAAUCGCUGCCAAACCUGACGCUAGCUACCUCGCCGCAAACAUCGACAGUAUCACCGACACCGCCAAACUCGCUUCUAAUCGUUCCCCAAAUAACAAAGAGCAAGGACACUUUGCUUUCGCCUGGGCACCGAGGUAUCUCGUAUCCGCCGCCGUCGCCCCCGAGGGGGGCACUAAGAAGAGCGUUCGCGAUUCCGCAGUCGCGAAACCCGCCUCUCGUUAAAACGAGACACAUAAGCUCGUCUGUGACACAAACGUUGCCACCUACGAUGAACCUGGACACGGAGGCCAUUGACGAGAGGCGUAGAAGGCUGGAACCUUCGCACAGGAUGCCAUCGGCGAGCAGCAUCGCGGAGGAAAAGAAAUGACAAGAGCUGGCGUACAAGAGUAACCUACCGAAAAGGUAAAUUGCUACGGACCAUCAGCCGUUUGAUAAGGGUGUACGUGAUACGUCGUGUUUCGAAACGUGAAUGGUUGCAUUCUGUUGCCUGUAUGCAAGUGCUGCACACACUUUCAUGCAGGCUCGGAAAACGGAAGGGGAAAUAUAAAUAAAAUUGAGUAAGCGAAACGUCUCGUACUCCCUGUGCCUACGAUAAGAAUCGAGCAAUUUUACAAUCGAUUGGGGCCAUUCGAAAUCAACGUGAAGUUUGUACCACGACCGUAUCAUAGUAACUUAUUUGAUUAGUCGUGUAACAUCUAGAUCUCAUUUUGUAAUUAACCGACGCGGCGGCUCGGACCGCGCGCGUUUAAAUAUUACCCUAGUUCAUUUAGAGUUCUAAGUCGACGAGGAGAACAAGGAAAAGGCCUACCUAGCGUAACUACUAUGUAUCGUGAUUUAAGUUUAGAUGACUAAUUAAUAGUUGGAGUUCAAGACGCCUCUAGCGAAGAUUUUAAACUUAAAAACUAAACAAGAAGAAAAAAAGACAUUGAAAAACGAAGGGAAAAAAAAUUAUUCAACACAACAAACCGAGUUCGUGAUUUAACAAAAAAAUAAAUAAAUAAAUAAAAUAAAGCAUCGAUCGUUUAGAAGAGAGGACACACGUACUUAGGGAAUUCACACUUUUUCUCGUAGAGAAGACAGUUGCGCGCUAAAUCCCUCGUACAAACAAAAGCUUCGAUUAAACCGUACCGAGCGUGGGAGGACACGAGAGAAGCAUCGGGAGAGGAACGCGUUUACUUUAAGUACAAAUUCGAUUUCGCAAUACUUUUGUUGAAGAGACUGAACCGAAGGAGUUGGGCCGUCGACGAGUAUUCACCCAACUAGAGACAACAAUACGUAGACGUGAAACAAGAGCAAUGAUUUUAUACGAGCUCCCCAUGUAAAGUUUCUUUCAACCCUUGCCCCCACUUCCCCCCUUGAAUUUGCGCAGCCUGCAUUAAGCUUAAAAGUGUUAUCUAUCGUAAAAGAAAAAAAUAUCGAUUGUGCGUCAAGUUCAAAAUAUAGUACAUAAUUUAUUAAUCGGUUGUUCAAUUUCAGUACCCGCUCAUUUCCCACCGAUCCUAAAUCAUUGAGAAUCGCUACAGUGAAAGUUGGUUUGAUAAUGUUUUACAGCCUAUUUUAUUAAUACCUUGCACCUUACGAUUAAGAUUAUAUAUAUUACAUAAAGAAUUUUCUGUAUCUU